rnacentral:lncRNA from 1 species
CUAAGAUCUUGAUAAGAUGGUAUCUGAUAUUCUGAUAGAUUGGGAUGAGGAGAGGCAUUCUGAUAUUCUAAAACAUAAGAUCUUUUAUCUUUAUCAAAUAUUCUGAGCCUCUGGGAAAGAGCAGUUUUCAGCCACAAUGCCUGAUGGUGGACACCUCCAUUUAGCUAUGGAAGAAUCUGGUCUGAAACCCCUGCAGGAUAAUGGUGAAAAAAAGCCCAGACAGGAGAGCCAAUUCACUGAGAGAACAGCUCAAGAGAGUCAGACAGAUGUUGGUCAAGACCAAUAGAAGCUGCUGCCAAUUCCAGUUCUGCCAGUGGAAUUACUUAAAAAGACUGUCA